AUGUGUGAUAUUUUGAAUGGGCUUCAGUCUCAAGCGUUUGAAAUAAACAAAAGGCUCUUGAGAUUUCUGGAAAAGAAUCGUCAAUGUUUAGUUGAGUGUGGGCUUCUUUUACCAAAUGCUCUGGCUCGCGUGAAUCCGACAGAAGCCUCAGACAUAUUGAGGGAGUGCUACUUCAAUAGCGUCAAAGGUAUUAAUAAUGCUUGUAGCUAUAACAUACUGUUAAAUAAAUUAUUAAAACAGGUGCAGCAGGCUAGUUAUGAAGAUUUUGUAAUAAGACUUGCGUCAGCAUACGAAGGUUAUCAAUUCUAUUUGCCAGCAUUCAUGGACUUCCGUGGUAGAAUCUACCGUUCAGGUGUAUUGCAUUUUCAUGAGCGUGAUUUGUCAAAAAGUUUAUUACUCUUUUCUGCCGAUCAUCCUCAACCUCAAGCACAAAACCACCUGUCGGAAAAAAAGAAUCUCAGUCAACACUUAGCAUGUGCUGCAGCCUUUAAGUAUCCAAAGUUCUCGAACUUAGAUGAUGCCCUUAAAUGGUAUAACGAACACCAGACUGAAAUGUUUACUUCGGACGAAAGUUUCAUUCAAUUUGCUGCGCAAGCUAGUGAUCCAUUUUUUUUCAUAGCCAAGAUCCUUUCUCAGGAUGAAGGAGUGAGUAAUUAUCAUCAGGUUCCAGUGACCCAAGAUGCGAGUGCGAGUGCAUAUCAAAUUAUGAGUUAUCUCUUGCUUAACUUAGAAAUUGGUAGGAGAACGAAUCUUCUUCCAUCUUAA
rnacentral:rRNA from 1 species